rnacentral:lncRNA from 1 species
UGCUUCGAACUUCUACCACGAGCGGUCUACUCCGAACUCCUACAGCAGGCGGUCUACUCUGGAUCUCUACUAUAAGCAAAUUUCAUUCGAGCCCUUACUGUAAACACGUCUCUUUCAAACUCCCAUCGCAGGUAGACUUCAGUCGAGCUUCUUCGUAGCCGGAUCCCAGAUGAGCUUCUACAGUGGGACAGGACCCACC